UACAGAGGGGGCAAGCGUUGUUCGGAAUUACUGGGCGUAAAGGGCGCGUAGGCGGCCUUCUAAGUCGAACGUGAAAUCCCCGGGCUCAACCCGGGAACUGCGUCCGAUACUGGAAGGCUUGAAUCCGGGAGAGGGAUGUGGAAUUCCAGGUGUAGCGGUGAAAUGCGUAGAUAUCGGGAGGAAGGCCGGUGGCGAAGGCGGCGCUCUGGAACGUACCUGACGCUGAGACACGAAAGCGUGGGGAGCAAACAGG
rnacentral:rRNA from 1 species